UCAGGAUGAACGCUAGCGACAGGCCUAACACAUGCAAGUCGAGGGGCAGCACAAGGAGCAAUCUGAGGUGGCGACCGGCGCACGGGUGAGUAACACGUAUGCAACCUGCCUGUAAGCGGGGAAUAACCCGUUGAAAGACGGACUAAUACCGCAUAAUACUAAAUUACUGCAUGGUAAUUUAUUUAAACAUUUAUGGCUUACAGAUGGGCAUGCGCAUGAUUAGCUAGUUGGAGAGGUAACGGCUCCCCAAGGCAACGAUCAUUAGGGGUUCUGAGAGGAAGGUCCCCCCACACUGGUACUGAGACACGGACCAGACUCCUACGGGAGGCAGCAGUGAGGAAUAUUGGUCAAUGGACGAGAGUCUGAACCAGCCAAGUCGCGUGCAGGAAGAAUUGUCCUAUGGAUUGUAAACUGCUUUUGCAGGGGAAUAAAGUGCAUCACGUGUGAUGUUUUGUAUGUACUCUGCGAAUAAGGAUCGGCUAACUCCGUGCCAGCCGCCGC
rnacentral:rRNA from 1 species